rnacentral:tRNA from 1 species
GGGUCCAUAGCCCAAUGGAUAAGGCGUAUCCCUCCGGAGGAUGAGAUGCGGGUUCGAUUCCCGCUGGACCUA